rnacentral:rRNA from 1 species
UACGGGGGGGGCAAGCGUUGUUCGGAAUUACUGGGCGUAAAGGGCUCGUAGGCGGCCAACUAAGUCAGACGUGAAAUCCCUCGGCUUAACCGGGGAACUGCGUCUGAUACUGGAUGACUUGAGUUUGGGAGAGGGAUGCGGAAUUCCAGGUGUAGCGGUGAAAUGCGUAGAUAUGCGGAGGAACACCGAUGGCGAAGGCAAUCCCCUGGGCCUGCACUGACGCUCAUGCACGAAAGCGUGGGGAGCAAACAGG